rnacentral:rRNA from 1 species
GGAAUAUUGGACAAUGGGGGAAACCCUGAUCCAGCGACGCCGCGUGGGUGAAGAAGGCCUGCGGGUUGUAAAGCCCUUUCGGUGGGGAAGAAAAGCCUCGACCUAAUACGUCGGGGUCUUGACGUAACCCCCAGCAGAAGCACCGGCUAACUCCGUGCCAGCAGCCGCGGUAAUACGGAGGGUGCAAGCGUUAAUCGGAAUUACUGGGCGUAAAGCGCACGCAGGCGGCUUUUUAAGUCGGAUGUGAAAGCCCCGGGCUCAACCUGGGAAUUGCAUUCGAUACUGGGGAGCUAGAGUAUGUGAGAGGGGGGUAGAAUUCCAAGUGUAGCGGUGAAAUGCGUAGAGAUUUGGAGGAAUACCAGUGGCGAAGGCGGCCCCCUGGCACAAUACUGACGCUCAGGUGCGAAAGCGUGGGGAGCAAAC